rnacentral:miRNA from 1 species
AGUCCGCUAUUAGACGAAGAUCUUCCUAUCAAUAGAUAGGAAUUAGUGUUCGAUAUAGGGGAUAGGAUCUAUCUGCUCUCUCUUAAAAAAAAUUGAGAGAGCAGAUAUAACGAUAUAAAAUCGGAAGGAUAGAUAGACAUCUAAAGAAAGGGAUGUCUAUUCUAUUCCUCUUUUUUUUAU